rnacentral:rRNA from 1 species
GACGAACGCUGGCGGCGUGCCUAAUACAUGCAAGUUGAGCGAUGAAGAUUGGUGCUUGCCCCAAUUUGAAGAGCAGCGAACGGGUGAGUAACGCGUGGGGAAUCUGCCUUUGAGCGGGGGACAACAUUUGGAAACGAAUGCUAAUACCGCAUAACAACUUUAAACAUAAGUUUUAAGUUUGAAAGAUGCAAUUGCAUCACUCAAAGAUGAUCCCGCGUUGUAUUAGCUAGUUGGUGAGGUAAAGGCUCACCAAGGCGAUGAUACAUAGCCGACCUGAGAGGGUGAUCGGCCACAUUGGGACUGAGACACGGCCCAAACUCCUACGGGAGGCAGCAGUAGGGAAUCUUCGGCAAUGGACGAAAGUCAGACCGAGCAACGCCGCGGGAGGGAAGAAGGGUUUCGGAUCGUAAAACUCUGUUGGUAGAGAAGAACGUUGGUGAGAGUGGAAAGCUCAUCAAGUGACGGUAACUACCCAGAAAGGGACGGCUAACUACGUG